rnacentral:rRNA from 2 species
CCGGGUUGCGGACAGUGUCUGGUGGGUAGUUUGACUGGGGCGGUCUCCUCCCAAAGAGUAACGGAGGAGCACGAAGGUUGGCUAAUCCUGGUCGGACAUCAGGAGGUUAGUGCAAUGGCAUAAGCCAGCUUGACUGCGAGCGUGACGGCGCGAGCAGGUGCGAAAGCAGGUCAUAGUGAUCCGGUGGUUCUGAAUGGAAGGGCCAUCGCUCAACGGAUAAAAGGUACUCCGGGGAUAACAGGCUGAUACCGCCCAAGAGUUCAUAUCGACGGCGGUGUUUGGCACCUCGAUGUCGGCUCAUCACAUCCUGGGGCUGAAGUAGGUCCCAAGGGUAUGGCUGUUCGCCAUUUAAAGUGGUACGCGAGCUGGGUUUAGAACGUCGUGAGACAGUUCGGUCCCUAUCUGCCGUGGGCGCUGGAGAAUUGAGGGGGGCUGCUCCUAGUACGAGAGGACCGGAGUGGACGCAUCACUGGUGUUCGGGUUGUCAUGCCAAUGGCACUGCCCGGUAGCUAAAUGCGGAAGAGAUAAGUGCUGAAAGCAUCUAAGCACGAAACUUGCCCCGAGAUGAGUUCUCCCUGAGACCUUGAGUCUCCUGAAGGAACGUUAAAGACGAUGACGUUGAUAGGUCGGGUGUGUAAGCGCAGCGAUGCGUUGAGCUAACCGAUACUAAUGAACCGUGAGGCUUAACCUUACAACGCCGAAGGUGUUU